rnacentral:sRNA from 1 species
AUGUGGGAUGAUUGUCCUAUUAGUCUAAUGGGAAGCAACAUGGAUAUUCCAGAUUUGGCUAUUAAGAUCCUGCACCAAGGAACCCAAAGGGACCUAGAGAAAUUUUUUAGGGUGGCUUGGAGGAUGUGGUACAAUAGAAACCAGGUGCUUUAUGAGGCAAAUGGAACCUCGGAAGCUCACAUCUGGGGGGGUGCUAUUUGUAUGAUUAAAGACUUCAAAGAAGCAAAUGGUCUGAAAAUUAAACACAUUAUGGAUAAGAAGGAUCAUUGGGAACCUCCUCCUGUGGGCUUCUACACCAUUAAUGUGGAUGGUGCUAUCCCUUUGGCCAAUGGACAUUCAGGGAUUGGAGUUAUAGUUCGAGAUAGUGACAGCAGAUUUGUAGUAGCCAUGUCUUUGCCCCUCCAAGGAAGAUAUUCUGUCGAGGAAACUGAGGCAACUGUAGUGGAGCAGAGAUGUGUGUAGGAAAAAAAGCUUAGCCUAGAGAGAGUGUGACUCUCUCUUGACUGUCCAAGCUGUUGAAGCUAAUGAUGUUAGGGGAGAUGUUGGCCAUAUUGUAAAGGGCAUUGUGCAAAGUUUAUGCAAUUUUCAGGAGUAAAAAAUCAGACACAUUAAUAGGACUAGCAACAAAAUAGCCCAUGAACUAGCUCGACAUGCUAGAAGAAUCAGAGAAAUUAUUAUGUGGAGAGUGGAGAUUCCAGAAUUUUUGUUUGAGAUAGCUAGAUCUGAGGGAGCUAGUUAGGCGGAGUAGUGUUUUCGGUCUAAGCUUUUGCUGGUUCCUUGUACUUGUGUUUGUUGUUUUUGUGGUUUUUCCAGUGGCCUUUGUAUCUGUUUUCUUGCAGUUGAAUGAUAUUUCAGUUUCUUCUCCAAAAAAAAAAGAAAAAAAAAAGAAAAAGAAAAAAAAAAGAGUCAAUUGUGGAGCAAAUAUGAACUAACUUAUUUGAUGAAUGGUUUAGGAGAUGCAUGCAUGCACAAGUGACUAAGAAAUAUACUAGGUUGACAACCAAUUGCCAGUAAUGAUUGUAAUCAUGUAAUUGUUCUCCAAAGAAAGGAGUCAAAUAUUAAAUUUGAUUAGAGUAUCAACAAUCUUAGCACAAAUGAUGCUUAGAUGAGUUCCAACUUGUAAUUAUAUUACAUAGUCUACUUAGAAUGAGUCUUGAUAGUAACGAUGAAGUCAAGAUUUAAUUUUAAAGUGGCUAUGACCUUGUUUGGUUGUUGAGUGGGUGUUAACUCAUUACUCAUCACUUAUCACCCUAUCACUCAUUUCUCAUAACUCAAAAAUUUCCAAAACACUCCCACCCUUGUUUGGCAACCAAACCCACUUUUGUUUUUUGCCUAAAAACUCACAAAAACUCACUUUUUUGUGGGACCCAGGGGUUGACCACUGUGCAAUGCACACAGUUAGGUUACCUGCGUAUGGAACCCUAUUUCUAUUUGCUUUGCACUCUCCUCCUCAAGUCCCAACCACAAAACUUCGGGCACCUCUUCCCUUUCACACCGCUGCUCUCAACUCCUAAACUCACUGACCACUAUUGUUCAGAACUCCUCCAUCCUCUUUUCUCUGCGCCGCCACCAUGGGACCCAUGUCCGCCAGCUUCCCCCCUCGUCGUCCUUGACAGCGAACCUAGAAUCUUGCGAUCACCUCUCAAACGAAGCUACAAUGCUGUCCUUCGCCACACCUCCGCCCCUGAAACCGAGCCCAAACAUCCACCAUCCCUCCUCUGCUCUGCAAGGGUGAUUGGCAGUGGGUAA